UUCUCCAGGACUCUCUCAACAACAUCCGCAGGUAUUUCUACUCGCAGUACAUAAGGUAGAAAGACAGCAAUCUAUCCAUUUCUUUACAACAGUUUCUUCCUUUCUCUUCUUUCACCUGUUUAUCAGGUAUCAUGUUUCUGAUUGUUCUUCAUGGCUUCAUGACUAAAGAACAUGUACUUCAGAACUAUUGAUGUCCUGGCAUCAAGGCUUUACUUCUAUUACUCUCUUAGCUAUGAAUAUACUGGUGAUCUCGCAGAAAUUAGAGGGGGACCAAAACCAAGUUUGUCUUUGCAAGCCCAGCCAAAUCUGCAGAGAUCCUUUUCAAGUACAUUUCUGCUGAGCAUGUUCCUAUACAAUAUGGAGGUUUGAGUGUGGAUUAUUGUGAGUGCAACCCAGAAUUCACCAUUGCUGAUCCGGUCGCUGAAGUAACCAUCAAACUUGGGACAAAGAAGACUCUGGAAAUUAUAAUUUAUGAGAAGUGCACCAUCAUAUGGGAACUCUGUAGUUGGGUGGGAUGUGAGCUAUGGAGCUGAAUUUGUUCCGGUUCCUGACUCUAUACUGAUCAUUCAAACAGCCACAAAGAUGACUCCAACUGAUGAACCAUUAAAAGGGAUUUCACAGUUUGUUGGAGCUUCAACAGGAACUUGGAAUCUUAAAAUCCCUGUUAAAGACGCACUAAGUGAUGGUCAUGGUCAUAAUUCUCCUCCUCCGAGAGCUUAACUUCUUAUGUAAAAAUAUGAGUCUGGUUUAAACACCACUUCUGUAAUAUGUAAAGUUAUAACAUUUUCAAUUAAUGUUUCUUAGCUUAUUAUUA